AUGCGGUGUGGUUCCCUGGUCCCUCUGGUGUCCUCAGAUCGGCCGAAGCCCGCCGGAGUCACCUGUUCCCCACCGCCCGACCGCCCAUGCUUCUUCUCUGCCACCGCCCCUCGCCAUCGUGCCGCUCUUCCCCAGGGUAUCCUCUCUGCGGGAACGGAGGCAAUGGAGAGAUCCGUGCUCGCCGGUGCUCUCCACUUGGCUGGAGUCGGCCGGAGCCCGCCGUGCCAGCACCGGCAGCGCCCUGCCCGGGCCCCUCUGCUUCUGUCACGAGCGAGCACGGGGGAGGAAGAAGACGACCACACUGGCUCCCCUGCCGCGUGGGACCCCUCUGUAAGUGGGUAA
rnacentral:rRNA from 1 species